UCUCUCUCUCUCUCCCUCUCUCUCUGCCCCUCCCCUUGCUCUCUUUCUCUCUCUCUCUCUCAAAUCAAUAAAUAAAUCUUUUAAAUAAAUAAAUAAAUAAAUAAUCUUUUUAUAAAUGAAGAGAACAUGGAAAUAAAAAUUGGCAAUAAAGAAAACAGUAAGAGAGAUCCGGGAUUAAGACUCUAGGAAUUUUUUUAGGGCUUUGUUAGGAAACAGUACAAGUGUCUGCUCAAACCUGUCACCAAACUUAGCCUCUCCCUCUCCCAAGCUGCUCUGGAUGAAAACCAGCUUUACUUGAGACUCAACUAUAGAAGAACCUGUAUUGUCAUUCCCAGACCUGUUUAAGCCCUUUUAAUAGAUCAAGUCAGGAUGGUAUCCUCAUAAUUUAGUGUUGUGAAUAGUACAAAUAAAGCCUUCAAUGACAUCUAAUCAGAGUAUUUUCUUUUCUCUUCCCUUAGACCAUUAUUCCAUAGGGGUCCAGAUUUCCCCGGCCCGUCAGUCAUUGCAACCACAAGCCGCCUGAGCGCAUUUGAAAGCCAUAGAGGAGCUAAUUUGCCAAGAUAGAUUUAAAAGACAUGAGACAGCUUCUGGUUGUGGUCUCUCUGGCUCCUGCCACACAAAGCAGAGUUCUGAAGCACACGGGGGAUUUCUUUUGCUGCCGGAAGCUGAGGAACAGAAGUUGAAGCCAGUCUUUGGAAUCAGUGAGUCCCAAAACUAAACUCCAUCUCCACCAUCCCUGGCCAUGCAAAACCAGACAAGUUACCAAAUCUCUCUGGGACUAUCUCCUUAGGUGUUAAAUGGGGAUGAUUACAAUAAGAACUGCCUUAUAGGUUUACUUUCAGUCUUCUUUAAAGAAGAUCUUAUUUAUUAUUUGACAGAGAGAGAAGGAGCAUGCACAAGCAGAGGGAACAGCAGAGGGAGAAACGGGGCUCAAUCACAGGACCCCGGGACAAUGAGCUGAGCCAAAGGCAGACACUUAAGUGACUGAACCACCCAGGCAUUCCUACUUUGAGUCUUAAUUAUUU
rnacentral:lncRNA from 12 species